rnacentral:rRNA from 1 species
CCCUUAGAUGUUCUGGGCCGCACGCGCGCUACACUGAUGCAUUCAACGAGCCUAUCCUUGACCGACAGGUCCGGGUAAUCUUUGAAUCUGCAUCGUGACGGGGAUAGAUUAUUGCAAAUAUUAAUCUUGAACGAGGAAUUCCUAGUAAGCGCAAGUCAACAGCUUGCGUUGAUUACGUCCCUGCCCUUUGUACACACCGCCCGUCGCUACUACUGAUUGGAUGUUUAAGCGAGGUUCUCGAACUGCUAGCGACUUAGCUUCGGUGAGGUCGCAGUGUGGGAAGUGAACCUAGCUUUGGUGUCUAGAGGAAGUAAAAGUCGUAACA